rnacentral:misc_RNA from 1 species
CGUAUAUAAGAGAAAGAUAGCAUUUUAGGAGUUAUUUAUAUCUAUUACGAAAUAUCAUAAGAGAAGUGCGAAAGGAGUUAGUGAGCAAUGACAUCUGCGGGGAAUAGGCUUGCUUCUUCCUAACGAUCGGGUGGUCCCUCCUUCUUCCUGUUCACCGCCGGCUCACCCACUGCAGCUUUCAUAGAUGUCGUGCGAAGGGACAGAGCUAAUGGAUGUCUAUUCCGUUCUCCCGCGGAAGCUCCUGCUCAAGAGUUCAAACAGACAGAAGAGAGUCCUGCUACUGAAAAAAGUCCAUACCAUGGGAUUCAAACAAAGGGGAUUUAUUCACGAAUACGAUUUAAAGCUUUCCUAUUACUGAUGGUAAGCGGGCCGGGUGGCUUCCUUUCCCGAUUGAAAGCUGUUUCGGUGGAGGGGCGAAGCUGCCGGCACUCUAUCACAGUGGGUCGCAAUGAAAAGAUUCAAGCAGUCUCGACCCCGCAAAGCUAGAAGUCGAUCCAGCAGUAGCACCACCAGUGGCAUCGUAGAUAUCAGAGCUAUCUAUUUAAGCUAAAGCUGCACAAGCAUUCAAUCAUAAGACUUGAUCCAACGACACAUUCAAAGAAAGAAUCGUAGGGCUGACUAACUCGGAAAUGGCCUUACCCGCGCUUAGCACACUUCAUUCCAAG